CUUGGCGACCAUAGCGUUUUGGACCCACCUGAUCCCAUUCCGAACUCAGAAGUGAAACGAAAUAGCGCUGAUGGUAGUGUGGGGUUUCCCCAUGUGAGAGUAGGACAUCGCCAGGC
rnacentral:rRNA from 1 species